rnacentral:sRNA from 1 species
AUCGAUACGACUCCUAUCUCCUUGCACACAGUGAUGUUCGGGCCUUUUAGCCCGCACUUUAUUCUUCAAAACUUGGUUCAAGGAGACAUCAAAUGUCCAAUCGCCAAACCGGUACCGUUAAGUGGUUCAACGAUGAGAAAGGCUUCGGCUUCAUCACUCCGCAAUCCGGUGACGACCUCUUCGUACACUUCCGUGCCAUUCAGGGUGACGGCUUCAAGAGCCUGAAAGAAGGCCAGCAAGUCUCCUUCGUCGCUACCCGCGGCCAGAAAGGCAUGCAAGCUGAGGAAGUUCAGGUUAUCUAACCUGAGGCUUCUCUGAAAAAGCCCCGCUUCGGCGGGGCUUUUUUGU